GCCAGUUGAGGAGAAUCGAAAUAAUUAAAUCCGUCAAGUGUUGGCAACCGAAGCGAGUGCCUCGAAUGGGGCAACCUGUCACCUUGUCACCCUGAGAGCAGGGGAGAUGGUGCCACUCGACUGUCUCUCUGGGGAUGUCACCGAAAAUAGCAAGCAGCAAAGAUCAAUGAGAAGAGCAUCGAUCGGGCAGUGGAGGCUCUAAGAGAAAUGUUUGAUCCUUUCUACAUUGGUCCAUGAAUCACUUUGAGUUCUUUCUUGUAUUUAUUUCUUGCCUUAUGCUAGGGGAAUAUCGCCAACACAUUGAGUCCAGUCCGACCAGCAGCGGAUUGAUCUUGUUUAUGGGAGCAUGUUGCACAUAAAGCAGACGCCACGAACAUGCAAAGCUGCAAGAAGGCAGAAGCAAGAAGAAGGAGAAGGAAGGAGGAACAAUCCACAACUGAAAAGAACCGAUACCUGGAGCACUGGAGGACACUCAACACGUUGAGAAGUUUAUUUGGC
rnacentral:lncRNA from 1 species